GACUGCAACCGCUCCGCUGGCCUAAUGGCUAGAGUGUCCGCCUCAGAUGCGAGAGGUCGUGGGUUCAAACCUCGUCCGAGUCA